rnacentral:rRNA from 1 species
GAUGAACGCUGGCGGCGUGCUUAACACAUGCAAGUCGAACGGUGAACAUGGAGCUUGCUCUGUGGGAUCAGUGGCGAACGGGUGAGUAACACGUGAGCAACCUGCCCCAGUCUCUGGGAUAAGCGCUGGAAACGGCGUCUAAUACUGGAUAUGAGUUCCUGCCGCAUGGUGGGGGUUGGAAAGAUUUUAUCGGUCUGGGAUGGGCUCGCGGCCUAUCAGCUUGUUGGUGAGGUAAUGGCUCACCAAGGCGUCGACGGGUAGCCGGCCUGAGAGGGUGACCGGCCACACUGGGACUGAGACACGGCCCAGACUCCUACGGGAGGCAGCAGUGGGGAAUAUUGCACAAUGGGCGCAAGCCUGAUGCAGCAACGCCGCGUGAGGGAUGACGGCCUUCGGGUUGUAAACCUCUUUUGGCAGGGAAGAAGCCUUCGGGUGACGGUACCUGCAGAAAAAGCACCGGCUAACUACGUGCCAGCCGCCGCAGUAAAA